rnacentral:lncRNA from 12 species
AUGUGCCUGCCCUGGAUUCAUCCUUCUCCGGAACCACCUGCAACUAGGACAAGUCUUCCAGGACUGAUCCUGUUAAAUUGCCAUUCUUGCCUGCAAUACCCAGCGAAGAGAUCCCUGUGGUCAAUCUUCAUGGUAAGUGUAGCCAAGAUCAGGGCCAUGUGGCACUGGUAGGCUUCCUAAGUGACCCAAUAGGGGUUUCCCUAUGGAUUCAAACUAGUUCCCCACAAGUCCCUGUGGCCUCUCUUCUGCAAUCUCUAAGCCUAGGCUGCAAUGUAAGAGUAUGUAGUGUAGUGUAAGAAAUUCCCUAAGCUAAGAUACUCUUAUUCCAGGCUUUUUUAUUUUUUAAAGAUUUUAUUUAUUUAUUCAUGACAGACACACUUAAAGAGGCAGAGACAUAGGCAGAGAGAGAAGCAGGCUCCCUAUGGGACUCGAUCCCAGGACCCCAGGAUCACAUCCUGAGCCGAGGGCAGAUGCUCAGCCACUAAGCCACCUCAGUGCCUUUGAACAUGCUAUUUAUUUACCUGGAAUACUUUUUUUUUUUCCCCGUAUAUUCAGAAAAUUGCUAUCACUCUUUAAAUCUUAGCUUUAAUAUCCUUUUUUUAAGGUACCCUAUAUGUUUCUGUUAUAGCCUAUAUUUUCCUAAUUUUCUUGGUUAGAAAAGUUUACUCAUACAUACUCACAGAAAGGUAAAGAGCAUUAUAGGAAAUUGAUCUACAACUGAGAAUUAAUUGAUAUUUAAUUUUAUUUCCUUCUAGUGUUUUCUUCUGUGUGGAAUCCACUUUAAUAUCUAUAACUAGUCCUGUUUACCUCCGGAUCUGACCUAAGAGAAAUACUGUAAUGGGUUCGAUUUACGUACUUCAAAUCCACUCCUAAUUUUUAUACACAUAUACACACAAAAACACCUCUAAUAAUAAUAUACCAUUG